CUUAACCGGCUCAAGCUCGAGCUAGACACUGCCGACUUCAAGUGCCUGAGAAACAACUUGGGCAAACAUCUUAUUGUUUAGGCCACUUGGAGGACAUGCAAGUUUUUUUGUAGCAACAGUUAAAGCAAGCUUGAUGCUGACGUCAGUACAGUUCAUUAUUUAUUAAGCAAGUUAUAGCUUAAUGGAUCUGAUGACUGCCCUCAGUUUCAAAAGGAGUGGACCCUCUUCUCACUGAUGCCAUGGACCAGCCCUGAGACAGACGGAGAUGGAGCUAAGGAAACAGGCAGUGGUGCCUCGUGACCGGCUAGUGGACGGUCAAGGGUUUCGUGGUUCACGGCGCAACGGCUGUUGGUGCAUAUUCUAUAAGAUGACCUCAGCGCAGGAGGAGAGGAACCAUCGGUUAACUAUGAAGGGACAGCUCGAGGAAUGCUGGAAUGUCCGCGUCAGCAUCGGCCUGAUCCGGCAGUUUGACGUGUGUCGAUGGAUGUCCCCUCUGUUGUUACGCGUGUAGAUAACGCCUGGGACUCCUGGGGAUCGGACCAGCAGGAUGUGAAGCUGGGCAUCGUGCUGUGCUGAGGACUUUGGACUUAAGCCUGAAGGUAAGGAAGGGAGAGUUAAGCAAAGAAUGGGUAUCCAUCCUUUGGAAGGGCUGUUCCCGUUGGUGGUAUGAAAAAGUGUUUGGACGGAAGCAGCUGGGAGCAGGAGGCCGGGUAGGAUCCGCUGUGCUCAUUCAGGAAAGAGAAAGCAGGAGUCGUGGGAGAAACGAGCCUCUGGAGGCUGUAGGUGUGCCCAGCAGGACGUGGUGCCCUGUUGUACUUGAAGGAGGAGGAGAGGGAACUCACCUGCCAUGCCUUCCUGGUUUCCAAUUUUGGCACUAGGCAAGCUCCUCCCUCAGAAGGAGGGGAAGUUUGGGGUGGAAAGAACGGAUUUAGUUCAAGACUGGUUGGAUUGGAAGUGUUGGCGGAAAUGCAGCUAAGAGAAGGGAGUGGGUCGUGAGAGAGAUGUAGGGCAUAAGUCACGGAAGAGGGUGCUAUCAUUCAGGAAGGUGGCUGCUCGUCAUAACGUGGAGGGGGUGGACCAUCUUCCCUGGUCAUUUUUUUCCCUGUAACUGAGCCCAAGAGGCACAGGCCCCGGAGUGCCGUGGGUUUGUCCUGAAUCCAGCCAAGAGGAAGAAAUGGCAAAUAAAUACGACAGGAAGCAAAGGCCAGGGUAGGUAAGAGAGGAGCACACGAGUCUAUCUGCCAAGAGCUGGGAGCUGUGAUCUCCCCGAGGGGUGCCAAGUGCAGGGGAAGAAGGCGGGGCCUCUGUGAGCCAGAGAUGCUAAUGCUAUUCUGGGUUGGCCGGCAGAAAUGGGGGCCCCUUCAGCCCUCUUCCGGGGUUCAGCCCCGCCCCACCGUUGUCAUCACUAUAGGCUGGGACCCGGGAGGCCGGGCUCCUUGGUGCGGCCGCUGUGAAGGCUGGCCAGAACUUCAGGGCAGCGGACAGGCGUGACGGAGACACCUGGGUCCCUGGGAUGCACGGGGCACAGGAGGCUGGAAGGGAGAGUGGACAGUGGCUCCGAACAUCUCAGUUCCCUGAAAGAUGUUGGGCUGCAGGAGAUGAGGAGUAGAAAAUACUGGACUGGGGAGAAAGCGCUGAAGCCCUGGGAAGGGUGGCGGGAGGGGAAGCUACGGGUGGGCCAGGGAAGGCUGGGCGCAGGGCUCCGGGCCAAGGAGAGGCAGAGGCCCUGACGCUCCUCUCCAGGCUGUGCGUCCAUCCUCCCCCAGGCCCCGACACGAGCCACUGGCCCACGUCAAACUGGACCGCCCCACAGGAGUUUGUAAUCCUGGGUUUCUCCGGGCAGCCCCUGGGGCCCCGGGUGCUGCCCUUUGCCCUCCACCUGCCCCUCUGUUUGCCACGCUGGCAGGAAGCCUGCUGAU
rnacentral:lncRNA from 1 species